rnacentral:pre_miRNA from 1 species
UUAACUCUUGGAGCAUGCAAUUUUGUCUGGUUUCCUCCAAUAUCUCACCUUCAACUGCUCAACUAUUUGCAUAAUCAAGAAUAUAAAUUGUGUGUGGUGGUAUUGAAUGUGAGAAUUGGUGGAAACUGAACUUGUAUGUCUGCUAAUAUUGGUAUUA